CUCGCGGCGCCGGCACCGAGCGAGGUCCUAACGCCUCGCGAGAGGGAACCCGGUGAGAAUCCGGGACUGUCCCGCAGCGGUAUGCAGGAACGACCGCCGUCACACGCACUGGUCCGCAUCGGACUGGGAAGCGACGGCCAGUAGGUGCACCUUUUCGGUGCGCGCCUGUGAGUCCGAAGACCUGCCAGGUGUGCCGGGCGCGC
rnacentral:ncRNA from 1 species